CACCGCUGUCACCGCUGUCACCGCUGUCACCGGGCGCUCUGGGGCUGCUGCCUUGCCCAGACCGGGCGCAGGUGCUGCAGCUGCUGCAGCUCUCUCUGCUGUAAUUGCGCUGCCGCUGCCGCCCCGCCGAGGCCAUUUCCCCUUUAUUGGUUUGUUUUGAGUUGUGUGGCCGCGCUGGGAGCGAGAUGGAUGGGGCUGGUCCCGCCUGCUGGGAGGCUUUGGUGUGGGAAUGGCUGUGGGGGAGUUCCCAGGGCAGGGGGCAGCUCCAGAGCCCCGUUCCUGCCCCAGGGCAGGGAGAGGUGAUGCCAGGCCUGAGGGGCCAUGCCCAGGGCUGGGUGCUGCUGGGUAUUUGCCCCAAUGAGGGACCUGCAGUUGUCACUUCCAGCAACUCCCGGUAAAACCCAAAGAGUCAAAAUCCAAACUCCAAAUCCACAGAUGCCAGGGACUGGUGUGCCCUGAGGCUCUCCCAUUCCAGGGUCUGUCCUCCCCUGGUGUUUCUCAGGAGAAAUCAGACAAUGGGAAUGCUGCUGAGCCCAUCCUCAGCCUCUGAUCCCUGCAGGUGUCUCGCUCUGUGUGGGGGCUCUGAUCUGAGCUGCCUUUGCAGUCUGAGAGGGAUUUUGUGCUUGCAGCUGGGCAAAGCAGAUUUUCCGGCAAAGGGAAACCCCCGGGGAGCUGGCAGAAGCUGACAGAGCCCGUUCCUGGUGUCUAAUGAAGACUGAUGAUCCCAUCCUCUCGCCCCGGUGCUGUGGGGAAAAGGGAAAUUAUUCUCUGCAUCCUGGAGGGAGACUCCACAGCCGUCCAGCCCUCGCCUCGCCUCAUUCCCGCUGGUUUUCCCUUCUUUUCCCAUCCUCAUGGAUCCUUCCCAGCUCCCAGAGCUCCGUUCCCUCAUCCCAGCACACGGAUCUGCUGCUGGUCCACACCAAGGGGGUGAAGAUUUCACCGCUGGGGGAGGAUUUGUUGUGGAUGGAAUUUCUUUUCCCGGCGUGGAAAGAUCUCCCACUCCACAGUCAGGCAGAAAAAACAGUUUAAAUGGGUCAGGGUUUAAAAGAAAAAUAAGAAACCUCG